rnacentral:lncRNA from 1 species
UCUACUGGCGUAUGAGGCCAGCGUUUAUGCCGUUACCCACGGCCGCUCACUGAUAACUGAUAACUACAGGGGAUACGAUCCCACUUAUAGCCGCGGCACUGAAGAAAGAAUUAAGAGGCGACAAUCCGAAAACGGUAAUAGACAAGUUAGCAAAGAAAAGGCAAGGAAACAAAGAUGCAGCAGUUUACGCAUCUGAAGUAGAGGAACUAGCGGAACAGUUAAAGGUAGCAUACAUAGCGGAAGGAAUGCCAUUGGAAUUAGCGAAAAAAUACACGACGGAAACAGUUGUAGCAACAAUGAAGCGAAACGUUAAUACAGAUAAAGCUAAGUUAAUACUGGAGGCAGGUAGUCAACACCGCAGGAAGUAGUAUCCAAAUUUUUAUCGAUUGAUACGACAGAGGAGAACACACAGGGAAGAGUGUUCAAUUAUAGGACGAAUUAUGAAAA